CAUCUUGUAUUGUAUUGUGCUUGUUCAAGCUUCUGACGCUCCACAGCAAGCGAGGUUUCAUGGAAUCCUGGAGAGUUCUAUUUAUUUCCUGUCCCAGGGCCCAGCUGCAUUCCAGUCUAUGUCGUCCAGCCUUGGGCAGGUUUCUCUCACUCUUUGUCCUGCAUGAUACUAUUUAUUUUAAAUGACUUUGUAAUUUUUUCAAACAAGACAUUGUAGGAUAUAUAUAUUAAUAAUAUCUAUAGUAUAUAGUAAUAUAUAUAUAGUAAUAUGUAACUGGUUACAUUUCAUUUUGAUCAGAUAUUAUAAUAGAUAGCUCCUGCUGAAGAUCAAAAAAAUAUUUACCAAGGACUUAUGAGAUUAGAUCUUCAAACUAUAGAGUUUAAAAAGGAAACUUCAAACUGUGCAUCCUCUCCUGGUACUGCGAAUAAUCUUUGUGUACACUGUGAAGAUGUGUCUUUGCCAAGGUGCCUUCUGAUUGAUUUAAUAAAGAGCUAAAUGGCCAAUACUAGACAGAAGGUAUAGCAAGGAGAGGACUCUGGGAAGAAGAGAGGCAGAGAAGCCAGCAAGACAUGGAACAAGUCAGGCACACAGAAUUGGAUAGAGGGUUCCCUAAAGAUGCUGUUGCUCCAAGACAACAUUAAGCAAUCUAGAGAACAAGACACCCACAUUCUCACGAAGUGGGAAUGCCUGGAGUGGUACAAGUCUGAAAGUCCACAUGAUAACAAGAGCUAAGAAGAAGUUGUAUCAACAGGCACCAAGGAGGAUGUGGACCUCCCCAGGGCACAAGUGGAGAGGACAGGAGUUAGUAGUCUCCAGGAAGACCAUGAUCUAGGAUGACAAACUCUCCACUGUUUGCUGCUAAGCAACUUGAAAAGAAUCAAUGGAAAACAAACAGUUGAUGAAAGACAGUCUUCAGGAGCAAAGGGGGCUGAAGACCAAGGGUGGAAGCUGCAUACAAGGAGGAGCCAGCAGCUGAGACAAAGGGGAGGAGAAAUAUCAUAAAACUGUUUUACACUUGCUUGUCUUGUUUCCUGCCUCAACUAUGAAUUUCUUGAUGACAAGAGCCUUCUGCUUUCCUCACCAUCCAUUCUGUAAUUCACUCCCAGGACUUCCUGCCUCCACACUGCUCAUGGUCUACCGGCAAGGUUCCAGUUGGCAGCUCGUGUCUUUCCCCUCUGGAAGCUCCAUGGCUUCUCCUUGACUCCACCUACUCUCUCUCUCUAUCUUUUCCAGCCUGGCUAUAUUCUGUUAAGCCAUUGGUUGAAAGCAGCUUCUUUAUUCAUUAACCAAGCAAAGCAACACAUAUACAGAAGGACCUCCCACACCAGUGCUAUUCCUAGGAAGGUGGUUCUAAAGUCUCUCCUCUACCUCUAUCCAUAUCCCUAUCCAUAUCUAUAGCUAGUUGAGCAGAAAACUGGAAAUCAAGCCAGUAAGCAGCAUUCGUGAUAGUCUUAAUUUCAGUUCCUGUUUGAACUCCUGUCCCAACUUCACUCAAUAAUGGACUGCAGCCUGUAAGAUGAAAUAAACCUUCGUUCUCUAGGUCAUUUUUAGUCGGUGUUUUAUUACAGUGACAGAAAGCAAACUAGAUCAGAAAUUGGCACAAAGAACGGGGUCUUUUUAAAAAAAAAUAUUUAUUUAUUUUUAUUAUGUAUACAAUAUUCUGUCUGU